rnacentral:lncRNA from 1 species
GAUGCUUCCCUUCCAGGGAAGAAUGAGCAAGAAAUCAUUGGAGUUCUGGACAAAAGUGAUGGAAACAGGUAUUCGUGGACAGACUCUAAUGUGUCAAGAAACAGGACAUCUGAGACUCAAAGAGAUUCAUUCCCUGGUCUUGAAGACACAGUUUACGACGACAUUGAAGAGACGGGACCCUGAUCAAGAUCGCUGAGCAGUACUGAAUACUUUUGGACGUACUCCCCUGUUCAUAAAAUGCUAAUCAUGUACUAUCAGAACCAGAACAACCUGCAUUUAAAAUUAGUUUUCAUAAGUUUUGUUUAUUUGCAGAAAAGUGAUUACAUAUUUAGAAGAAAUACAAGCAUUAUCUUGGUUAGACAGUUUUUCAAGCUUCUCCUAACUACCUGGGCACUUUUUUUUUAUUAUUAUUUCUAAAUAGUUUCAUUGCUUCUUUUUCCUUUUUUUUUUUUUUUUUUUAAACUGAGGUAAUUUUUCAACCAUGAUAUUUUCUUAUUAAAACUGUUUAAAGAUCUUUUCUCAAAUGUAUGUUACUCCUCGCGGAUACACUUCAGUGUAUUAGGAAUUUUGAUUAUUAGGAAUUGAGACUGAACUGCAAGAAGAUCAUCAAAGCUGUGUUUAAUCUUUUGGAUAUUCUUAUUUGUCACAUAGAAUGUGAGAGCCAGAAUUAAUGCUAGGUAGCACUUUGUGAGAUAACAAAUUAAACGAGAGGUUAUUCUUGUCCUCACUUUAAAUGCAGGGCUGUCAUUUGAACUACAUGCAAGUGAAUUACAAUUUGGACUGGGUGGAAAAACUCCUCUUUUCUCCCUCUACACCAUGAUGAAUUAUUGUCUCCCAAAAUCGUAUCAAUUAUACAGUAAUAGAAAGUAUAAUUUCUUUCAACAUAUGACAAAUAGUGGUCAUAUCUAUAGGUUUCCAUCGUGUCAUUUAUUUUCAUCAUGUGAAGGCAGACUGCAAAAGUCCACAAGUUGAUGGAGUAGAAGUACUGUUGUCUUGGCUCCUAAUAAAAUUUCUUUCAGGUUUUGAAAGAAAAAGCUUCCCCUGAAAUCUGCUAUCUAUAUUGGUGUACUGGUUUUGGCUGGACUAGAGUUAGUUUUCAUCAUUGUAGCAAACAUGGUGAGGUGUUUUGGAUUUGUCAUGAAAAGCAGUAUUGCUAACACAUUAAUGUUUUAGUUUCUGCUGAGCAGUGCUUACACAGCAUUAAUGUCUUUGCAUCUCAUGCUGCCCUGCCAGCAAGGAGGCUGGGAAUGCACAAGAAGCUGAGAGAGGACAAAACCAGAACUGAUUCAAACUGACCAAAGGACCUUUUUAUACUGUAUGAUGUUAUGCUCAGCAAUAAAACUGGGGGGAAAGAAGGAAGAAGAGGGAAUGUUCCGAGUUAUGGUGUUUGUCUUUCCAAGUAACAAUUAUGUGUGAUGGGCCUUGCUUUCAUGGAAAUGGCUGAACAUCUGCCCAUGCUUAGAGACACGGUUACUGCCCGUGCUUAGGGACAUGGUUUAGUCGGUGAUACUGGUGAUAGAGUGAUGGUUGGACCAGAUGAUCUGGGAGGUCUUUUCCAACCUUAAUGAUUCUAUGAAAAUCUGAGCCCCACCUUUCCAAUAGCCACUCCCAUGCCACCCAACAAAGCUGCAUUUGCAUAGAGGAUGCCACUGUAAAGAUAUGUCUAGAUGAUAUAUCCAUAAGAGUCAACAUAAUGAAGAUGAGACUCUCAUUUACAUAUAAAAACAACAGUUGUUCUAGCUAGCAUGGUACAUAACAAAGUGUGAGUUUGUCCCAAACAGCAGGGAAGACAAACAGACAAGUAGAUC